rnacentral:rRNA from 1 species
AUUGAACGCUGGCGGCAUGCCUUACACAUGCAAGUCGAACGGCAGCACGGGUGCUUGCUCCUGGUGGCGAGUGGCGCACGGGUGAGUAAUACAUCUGAACAUGUCCUGUAGUGGGGGAUAGCCCGGCGAAAGCCGGAUUAAUACCGCAUACGAUCCACGGAUGAAAGCGGGGGACCUUCGGGCCUCGCGCUAUAGGGUUGGCCGAUGGCUGAUUAGCUAGUUGGUGGGGUAAAGGCCUACCAAGGCGACGGACAGUAGCUGGUCUGAGAAGACGACCAGCCACACUGGGACUGAGACACGGCCCAGACCCCUACGGGAGGCAGCAGUGGGGAAUUGUGGACAAGGGGCGAAAGCCUGAUCCAGCAAUGCCGCGUGUGUGAAGAAGGCCUUCGGGUUGUAAAGCACUUUUGUCCGGAAAGAAAACCUUGACUCUAAUACAGUCGGGGGAUGACGGUACCGUAAGAAUAAGCACCGGCUAACUACGUG